GACUCACUGGAGAGUUUCCAAAUGCAGAUUGAUGAUUAUGAGGGGCAGUUAUUGAAGAUCUGGAAACCAUGACCUGGAGUCAGUAAUGCCAGUGGUUUUUCAAUCCAGCUGAGCCCUGCUACGCACUUUGUGGUGAACAUAGCAUAUAGCUGGUGCUCAAAAAUAGUUUGAUUGAAAAAAUAAAGUUUAAAUAAAGUUUCAGAGGGAGACCAACACAAGUCAGUGUGAAAAUGAAGUCUCGGGACACACACAGAUGCAACCAUUCCAUAAUACAUUGACUUUGAGUGGCCUAUUUCCCACCCCCUGGUGUUGGUGGAGUAGCUGUGGAACAGUGAGAGAAGGAGAGAUGAGGACUUGAACAUAUUUGGAAUAUGACCAAGAUGUCUUUACCUUUAUUGAGUCCUGACGAAAUCUGGCUGUUAUAAAUCCUGACUGAAUCCCAUGAUGUUUUCCAAGCAAAUGGGACCACUUUGUAAGAAGCAGAAGCGUCCUCUCACCAUGUGCAAGAGGAGGAGGUGUAAAUGGAGAGAAGCCACCAGCAUUUUCAGAAAGCCACAUGAUGUAACAGCCCCACUGCACCGCCUCAUUUGUGCUGGAAAAUUUUAAAUAAGAGAAAUAGAAUUCUGUUCCAUUAGCAUUGCAACAAGUAUGUUAGCAUAAUAAACUUGGUACCAGGGUGGCAUUCAGCUCCAUUUUACAUGCCCUUCUGUCUCACCUUUCCUUGCCAAUGCCAUUGAAGUCCUAAUGGAAAGACAGCCUUUGAAAGAACCCUGCUGGCUUUUUGGCUGCCUGUUGGCAACAGAGGAGAAUAGGAGGAUGGGAAUAUGCAUUUGUAAAGUUCCACUUGCUUAUCUUACUUAGGGACAGCAUUUUAUCCUUUCAAGCUCAUCUCCCAGCCACUGUAAUUAGGCUUUCCAGAAACAGUCUUGCUGCUGUCUUGACAUCACAAUAGCAUUUUGAUGAGCUUGGACAGUUACCAGUUCAUCCGUCUGGCAAGAUAUUGCUGCAUUUCCAAAGAUUUCACUGUAUCGUUGUGGAUGCCAUUAAUUCCCAGAAGGGAAAGAGAAAUAUUUUUACAACAAUAUGCAAAGAAGUCAUUCAAGAGCAGGCUUAUGGCGUUAAAACUUUUGUCUUCAAACCUAGCAGCAAGUCUUCUCAUAUUGAGUCAUUUACUUACAAGGGCAUAAAUGAGCGCACAGUUCUUUCAUUGAUGAGCAGGCAAGGGAAAACAUAAUCAGAGAAAGAGAGGGGGUGAUAAAGAGAGGUACAUGGACAAAAAGCAAGAGGGAGAGAGAUGUCUUGAGUCGAAAGCUUCUUGAGGUCAGGAUUCAGGUUUUCACUCUGGUUCUUCUUUUGAACAGGAUGGUGCAUGUGAUCAUGUUGAUACUGGGGCAACCUGUCCCAUUUGAGCAUUAGUGAUUUUGCAGUCAGACUUAAAGCGUCUAUUAUGCAUCACGGUCUCCUAUAACGUAUCUUGAACUCGACACCAGAACUGUCCAGUGCCAUGCUUUCAGGAGACUUUUGUGUAGGUGGAACAAGUCUGUCCAUAUAAGACUGCUGGUGCUGAUGCAAGUGUUCUAUUAUGUGCCAUCAAAGCGCUGGAAAUGGGGCUAGUGCAACUGAGAAACUGAAUUUUUAAUUAAAAAAAUCUUUUUUAGUGAUGGAGUCUUGCUCUGUUGUGCAUGCAGGCUGGAGUGCAGUGACACCAUCAUAGCUUACUGCACCCUUGAACGUCUGGGCUGAAGUGAUUCUCCUGCUUCCACUUCUCAAGCGGCUGGGACUACACAGUCAUGCACCACUACACCUGGGUAACUUCUAAAUUUUUUGUACAGAUGGGAGUCUCACUGUGUUGCCCAGACUGGUCUGGAACUUCUAGCCUCAGGCAUUUCUCCCAACUUGACCUCCCAAAGUUCUGGGAUUACAGGUGUAAGCCACUGUACCCAGUGAUCUUUAAUUUUUUCAUGUUAAGUAAUUAGAUAGUGCUAUGGAGGGCUGAGGGUAUCUACUGUAGGUAUUCAUGUAGCAUCUCACCCUAAAAGAGAAAUGUGCAACAACCUCCUUCCACCCCAAGGAUAGAAGAGAAUUCUUCUGAGAUCACUAACUCAACACUUUGAAAUGAAUCUCAAUCCCUCAAGUAGGAGAAAAGGGCACAUGAGUAAUAGAAUAAUGCCCCAUGCCUUGGGCUAAAGACAUGUGCCUAUUAUUUAUGCCUAUCCAUUUCUUUUUCAAAAUCUAGUCAUCGCAAAUAUUUCUAGCAUCACUGUGGAAGUGGAAAUGAUAGCUUUUGCUUUUGAUUAGCACCUGGAACCAUCACAGUGCCCAGUUGCUAGCUCAAAGACGCCUGCUCAACAGAUUCGAUGCCUAUUCUAGAAGGAAGCUUUUAAGUUUUCUUGAAAUAAAAUCCAAGUAUCUUUGCUAUGAGACAUGAUUUCCGGAUGCUGGGAGCAGGGAAAGACUGUUGUCCCCUUCUAUUUGCAAUUGUUUGAUUGCCUUUAACAACCAUCAGAAGGUAAGAAAGAUCCUUUUUGGCUUGAGCCAGAAACAGGUUAUCCUGUGUUCUUUGAAAAACUUUUACUGAUUUCUACUGCCAUCAUUGUCACCUCAUGGAGGCAUUAACAAUUGGAAUUGCGGUUAUCUAGGGGCAGCUUUUGCUCCCUGGCCCCUGUGUAUAUCAGUAAAAUUGGGGUGUGGGCAAUUGGUAAAGGCAGAUUUGGCCUGAUGAGUCUAUUGCAGCUGCCUGAGUAGAAAUGCCAAUGCAAAGCUGAGCUGCUAAUUGGAAAUGGAAUAAACUAAAAUCUUGGUUCAAAUGGCAGCUAUAUUUUUUAAAGAAAAGAUUUCAGUUGAAAUGCCAAAGGAG
rnacentral:lncRNA from 10 species